GCCAAGUCUUCUUGUUUUAGAACUGAGCCUAUAAAUGCAGUUAAAUAUUUAAAAAAUUGUGUUUUUUUUAAACUGUCAAAUCAAUCAAACAUAAAUUUUUAAAAUGAAUACUAUUAUGAAAACAAAUCUUAUUUUAGAUUAUUUAUUUUUUAAACAUGAUUCAUGGGGCAGAUAGGUAUCUGGCCAGUGUAGUUAUCAAUCUGACCAAUCACCAUAGGUAUCUGGCCAGUGUAGUUAUCAAUCUGACCAAUCACCAUAGGUAUCUGGCCAGUGUAGUUAUCAAUCUGACCAAUCACCAUAGGUAUCUGGCCAGUGUAGUUAUCAAUCUGACCAAUCACCAUAGGUAUCUGGCCAGUGUAGUUAUCAAUCUGACCAAUCACCAUAGGUAUCUGGCCAGUGUAGUUAUCAAUCUGACCAAUCACCAUAGGUCACUGGCCAGUGUAUUUAUCAAUCUGACCAAUCACCAUAGG